rnacentral:rRNA from 1 species
GAUGAACGCUGGCGGCGUGCCUAAUACAUGCAAGUCGAGCGAACGGACGAGAAGCUUGCUUCUCUGAUGUUAGCGGCGGACGGGUGAGUAACACGUGGAUAACCUACCUAUAAGACUGGGAUAACUUCGGGAAACCGUAGCUAAUACCGGAUAAUAUUUUGAACCGCAUGGUUCAAAAGUGAAAGACGGUCUUGCUGUCACUUAUAGAUGGAUCCGCGCUGCAUUAGCUAGUUGGUAAGGUAACGGCUUACCAAGGCAACGAUGCAUAGCCGACCUGAGAGAGUGGUCGGCCACACUGGAACGGAGACACGGUCCAGACUCCUACGGGAGGCAGCAGUAGGGAAUCUUACGCAAUGGGCGAAAGCCUGACGGAGCAACGCCGCGUGAGUGAUGAAGGUCUUCGGAUCGUAAAACUCUGUUAUUAGGGAAGAACAUAUGUGUAAGUAACUGUGCACAUCUUGACGGUACCUAAUCAGAAAGCCACGGCUAACUACGUG